AUUGAACGCUAGCGGCAUGCCUUACACAUGCAAGUCGAACGGCAGCACGGGGGCAACCCUGGUGGCGAGUGGCGAACGGGUGAGUAAUGCAUCGGAACGUGCCCAUCGAUGGGGGAUAACUGCGCGAAAGCGUUGCUAGUACCGCAUACGACCUACGGGUGAAAGCAGGGGACCGCAAGGCCUUGCGUCGAUGGAGCGGCCGAUGCCGGAUUAGCUAGUUGGUGAGGUAAAGGCUCACCAAGGCGACGAUCCGUAGCUGGUCUGAGAGGACGACCAGCCACACUGGGACUGAGACACGGCCCAGACUCCUACGGGAGGCAGCAGUGGGGAAUCUUGGACAAUGGGCGAAAGCCUGAUCCAGCAAUGCCGCGUGUGGGAAGAAGGCCUUCGGGUUGUAAACCACUUUUGGCGGGAAAGAAAUGGUCUGUGCUAAUACCACGGAUUGAUGACGGUACCCGCAGAAUAAGCACCGGCUAACUACGUG
rnacentral:rRNA from 1 species